rnacentral:snoRNA from 10 species
CUGGUCUGGGGAAAGGCUCCCGUGUGCUGGCCCGCAGUGCGGGUGCGGCCUUGUACCGGGCAGCACAACCUUGACCUACAGCAAGCGCCAGGGAGCAGUGUCUCCCAGCGCAUCUGCAGUAACAGGUGAGACCAUCCUAGCAGCAGAUUGAUGAUCAAAAUGAUACUGCACACAGAA